AAACUCAUCGCCCCUAUUGAUCAGCUACUUUGUUAUUUGCAAUCGUUCCUUUCAAUUUCUUAAUACAAUUUUCUGAUAUUUGGUUUGUUCACGUCUAUAGAUUUUGUUUUUCUCCACAGAAUACCAAGUCGUUUAUAAGGCAGUGUUUUAAACAAAUGUGGGUAUAGAUGAAUUGUUAAUUCUCUCUGACUUUCGAGUACUUUUUUUUUUUAUAUUUCACAGUUUUAUUCGUGUACUUGAAUACAAAAAUCAUGCUUUUGUUAUUCCAUCGUUACUUUAUAUGUAGAGUUUCUUAGUUUUAUAAGUUGCUGUCUUUCUGUCCUUUGUUUUCAGUAUUAUUUGUGUGUGGUUUUUUUUAUGUAUACAUUGGAUUAAUUGCAUAUGAAGAAUAUCUAUAUAACACUUAUCAGCUUCCAUAAAGACACUGAGGUGAAUAUGUGUAACGAAAGUCAUGGAAACAGUGAAUUCAGGGACAACUACGGAUAAUAUUUCUAUUUCUCUUUCGCAGUUUAUUCGUGUACUUGUAUACAAAAAUCGUGCUUUUGUUAUCCCAUCGUUACUUUAUAUAAAUAAUUUUUAAUUGC
rnacentral:sRNA from 1 species